rnacentral:rRNA from 1 species
AUUGAACGCUGGCGGCAUGCCUAACACAUGCAAGUCGAGCGAGCGACGGACGGGUGAGUAAUGUAUGGGGGCUGCCCGCUGGGGGGAACAACUACUAGAAACGGCUGCUAAUACCGCCGAUUGUCGGAUAACCCAUAUGGGAUUAGCUAGUAGGUAGGGUAAUGGCUUACCUAGGCGACGAUCCCUAGCUGGUCUGAGAGGAUGAUCAGCCACACUGGGACUGAGACACGGCCCAGACUCCUACGGAGGCAGCAGUGGGGAAUUUUGGACAAUGGGGGCAAGCCUGAUGCAGCCAUGCCGCGUGUAUGAAGAAGGCCCUAGGGUUGUAAAGUACUUUCGGUCGGGAAGCGUUACCGACAGAAGAAGCACCGGCUAACUCCGUGCCAGCCGCCGCGGUAAUAC